rnacentral:rRNA from 1 species
UACGUAGGGUGCAAGCGUUGUCCGGAAUUAUUGGGCGUAAAGAGCUCGUAGGCGGUCUGUUGCGUCGGCUGUGAAAACCCGGGGCUCAACCCCGGGCCUGCAGCCGAUACGGGCAGACUAGAGUUCGGCAGGGGAGACUGGAAUUCCUGGUGUAGCGGUGAAAUGCGCAGAUAUCAGGAGGAACACCGGUGGCGAAGGCGGCAUCCUGGACCGGUAUUGACGCUGAGGCGCGAAAGCUAGGGGAGCAAACGGG